AGUGAACGCUGGCGGUAGGCCUAACACAUGCAAGUCGAACGGCAGCACAGUAAGAGCUUGCUCUUACGGGUGGCGAGUGGCGGACGGGUGAGGAAUACAUCGGAAUCUACUUUUUCGGGGGGGAUAACGUAGGGAAACUUACGCUAAUACCGCAUACGACCUACGGGUGAAAGCAGGGGAUCUUCGGACCUUGCGCGAUUGAAUGAGCCGAUGUCGGAUUAGCUAGUGGGCGGGGUAAAGGCCCACCAAGGCGACGAUCCGUAGCUGGUCUGAGAGGAUGAUCAGCCACACUGGAACUGAGACACGGUCCAGACUCCUACGGGAGGCAGCAGUGGGGAAUAUUGGACAAUGGGCGCAAGCCUGAUCCAGCCAUACUGCGUGGGUGAAGAAGGCCUUCGGGUUGUAAAGCCCUUUUGUUGGGAAAGAAAAGCAGCAGGUUAAUACCCCGCUGUUCUGACGGUACCCAAAGAAUAAGCACCGGCUAACUUCGUG
rnacentral:rRNA from 1 species